UCGCGCUGAUGUGCUUUGAAGGAAAUAUGUCACCUGUUCUUUACACUGAAAGUGCUUUCAAAUGAAAAUGAGUUUCACUUGUGACCUUAAGGAGAACCCAGCCUAAUCCAGGCCUGAAUAAAUCAGGCGUUGAAAGCAUGGAACAGAUGAGGUCACCCGCAGGCCAGUCAGCUCCACGCUAUUCCACGACCCGAGAUCACACCCCUGAGUGGCCAACCAGGACGGCGCUCGGAGGAUCCGUGGAAAUCCAGCACACUGCUAGGAAACAGCUCAAAUACAAGCCCCAGUGGUAAGUCGUGAAAAUUACCAUUGGAUAAGCCGCUCCAGAGUCUUUUCAGCUACACGUUCCUGAACUCUGAGUUAAGUGAUGCACGAAGGACUGGGAGUCAACAGACUCGAAUUUGCAUCUGUCUCAACUUAUUAGCUGGUGGCCUUGGGAACGUUGCUUAAGCUCUUUGCCCCAUUUGCUUAUCUGGGAACAGCGAAUGAUAAUACAUCCACCAGAGGAUUUUUGUGAAAAAUAAUGAGAUGAUUCUGUUUGGAAAAUAUCAAAAGCAUGAGGUCUGGCAAUUAGUAGGUUCUCAAUAACAAGUCAAUAUUAAUACCAUCUAAGUUAAACACUUACGGCUAAUAAGGAAAGUGUCACUAUGUUAGGAGACAUUUGCUUUUCAUCCCAGCAUUUGUGUGUCACCACUCCCUAUUCUUGUGACUGUGAGAUUGUCAAUUGAUCACAGCACUCUAUCACUGAAACCAGAUGUGGCCUCAGAAUUUUUUCAACACUGUGUUCUAGAAACAUCUAACAAUUAGAGUUGGCACAAAGCUUGAAACAUUUUAUAUUCUGACCUAAUGCCUAUUUAGCUAUGUAUAACAUAUGCGUGGAAUUCUUCCUGGAAUUUUGCCAUUGGGAUCAAUAGAUCUGGGCUCGUAGUUUGGAAGUGAAAAUGUCAAUCUCCUAUGAACACGUCUACUGGCCAGUAAUAUCCUUUAUCUUACAAAAUAAGGACCAUGUUGUCAUACUUGCCCUUGAGUUUUCACAGCAUGCUAGGAAGAAGGAAGGACAUGUUGUUCUCACCUCACAGUGAAAUUGAGAGUAAGUGCAGGCCAGGAAACCUUUGGAGUGUGACUUCAGGGCCAGGUUGUGUUUCACUGCCAUGUGACACCGUAAGUCUUCAGUUGCUAUUGCUGAGUCUCUUCCGGUGACAGAAGGCUCUUCCUGGAAGUCCGGUUCGGGAGAAGGGAGUCCAGAUGCAGCUGGCAGUAUUCUAUCAAGGUGGUGCAACACUUCUUAAAGUUCACUUAUUUUUUUGCCUUCCUUUCUGCAUAUUGAAAGUAUUUUAAGGCUAUGUAUUUCUCCUUCAGUUUUUGCUUUGAUAAUGAUAUCUUUGUUCUUCAUUCUAAGUAUUUGAAAAAUUUCCAGUAUAAUUUCUUUUCCAUUCCAUGAAUUAUUUGGGAGUGUGGUUCUGAAUUUCAAGUUGCAUGGAUUUUUAACUUGUUUAUUUGUUUUCCUUAUUUUUUUAAUUGAACAAUUCUUUAAAUUCUAUAGUGCUUUACAACUUUCAAAAGUUUCACACACAUGAUUUUGUAUAAUCCCAUAAUAACCGUUUUUAAGAAAAUCCCUUUACCCCAUCUCGCCCCUCUCCUCUUCCCUCUCCCCUCUAGUAACCACUAGUUUGUUCUCUAUAUCUGUGAGUCUGCUUCUUUUUUGUUUUAUUCACUAGUUUGUUGCAUUUUUUAAAUUCCACAUAUAAGUGACAUCAUACAUUAUUUGGCUUUCUUUGUCUGACUUAGCAUAAUACCCUCCAAGUCCAUCCAUGUUGCUGCAAAUGGCAAAAUUUCAUUCUUUUUUAAUGGCUGAGUAGUAUUCCAUUGUGUAUGUAUAUAUAUAUGCACAUAUACAUACACAUACAUAUGUGUGUGUGUAUAUAUAUAUAUAUAUAUAUAUAUAUAUAUAUAUAUAUACAUCACAGCUUCUUUAUCCAUUCACUUUAACUUGUUUAUUUUUGUGUGAGAACCUGGCUUGUAUACAUCCAUUCCCUGAAAUAUGUCAAAACUGGUUUUAUGACAUCGUUUUGGUCAAUUUUUAUAAACGUCUCACGUAUGUUUCACAAAAAUAUUUAUUCUCUAAUGGUUUGUUGAUUUUGUUGUUGAAAUCUAUCUCUUUAAAUUUUUUUCUGCUUGAUCUGUCAAUAAGUGAGAUAGGAAUAUUGAAAGGUUUUACUAUGAUAUGGAUAGAUCAGUUUUUGCAGUCUAUUAAUAUUUGUUUUAUAAAUUUCCAAGUUAUUAGAUACACACAAAUAUAGAAUUAUUAUGUGAUACUGAUUAAUAUUUUGAAAAAUCAUUAUGUAACAAAGACCUUCUUUAUCUUCCAUAAUGCUUUCUGCUUUAAAGUCUCUUUUGUCUUAUGUUAAUUUCAUGGCCGCCAUCGUUGUUGCUGUUGCUAUUUGGCUAGUAUUUGCCUAUAUACUUUUUCUUCUUUUUUCCUUUUACCUUUCUAUGUGUGUAUAUCUUAUU